ACAAGGGCGCAUGGUGAAUGCCUUGGCACUAGGAGCCGAUGAAGGACGGGACUAACACCGAUAUGCUUCGGGGAGCUGUACGUAAGCUAUGAUCCGGAGAUUUCCGAAUGGGGCAACCCAGCAGUUUUAAUCAACUGUUACCACUAGAUGAAUUCAUAGUCUAGUUGGAGGUAAACGCUGUGAACUGAAACAUCUCAUUAGCAGCAGGAAUAUAAAGAAAUUUCGAUUCCCUAAGUAGCGGCGAGCGAACGGGGAACAGCCCAAACCAAAGUGCUUGCACUUUGGGGUUGUAGGACUGAACAUUUGAGUUACCAAAGAACUUGAUAGUCGAAGGAUUUGGGAAAAUCCGCCAUAGAUGGUGAUAGCCCAGUAGAUUAAAUCAAAUUCUCUCAGUUCAGGUUCCUGAGUACGGCGGAACACGUGAAAUUCCGUCGGAAUCCGGGAGGACCAUCUCCCAAGGCUAAAUACUACCUAGUGACCGAUAGUGAACCAGUACCGUGAGGGAAAGGUGAAAAGCACCCCGGGAGGGGAGUGAAAUAGUUCCUGAAACCAUGUGCCUACAAUAAGUCAGAGCGCGUUAAUGCGUGAUGGCGUGCCUUUUGUAGAAUGAACCGGCGAGUUAUGAUCCCGUGCAAGGUUAAGACUAAAAAGUCGGAGCCGUAGCGAAAGCGAGUCUGAAAUGGGCGUUUUGAGUACGAGGUUAUAGACCCGAAACCAGGUGACCUAUCCAUGUCCAGGUUGAAGGUGCGGUAAAACGCACUGGAGGACCGAACCCGUGUAAGUUGAAAAUUGCUGGGAUGAGGUGUGGAUAGCGGUGAAAUUCCAAACGAACUUGGAGAUAGCUGGUUCUCUCCGAAAUAGCUUUAGGGCUAGCCUCGGAAUUAGGAUCAUGGAGGUAGAGCACUAUUUGGACUAGGGGCCCGUCUUGGGUUACUGAAUUCAGAUAAACUCCGAAUGCCAUUGAUUCAUAUCCGGGAGUCAGACGAUGAGUGAUAAGAUCCACCGUCGAAAGGGGAACAGCCCAGACCAUCAGUUAAGGUCCCUAAAUGUAUGCUAAGUGGAAAAGGAUGUGGAGUUGCAUAGACAACUAGGAUGUUGGCUCAGAAGCAGCCACCAUUUAAAGAGUGCGUAAUAGCUCACUAGUCGAGUGAUCCUGCGCCGAAAAUGUACCGGGGCUAAGCAUACUACCGAAACCAUGGAUGCGACCAUUAGGUCGCGUGAUAGGAGAGCGUUCUAAGGGCGGUGAAGCAAGAUCGUGAGGACUUGUGGAGCGCUUAGAAGUGAGAAUGCCGGUAUGAGUAGCGAAAGAUAGGUGAGAAUCCUAUCCACCGAAUGACUAAGGUUUCCUGGGGAAGGCUCGUCCUCCCAGGGUUAGUCGGGACCUAAGUCGAGGCCGAGAGGCGUAGACGAUGGAUAACAGGUUGAGAUUCCUGUACUAGUUAAGUGCGUUUGAGCAAUGGAGGGACGCAGGAGGCUAAGAUGUGCAUUCUGUUGGAUUAGAAUGUCCAAGCAGUAAGUCUUGUGAAGAGUCAAAUGCUUUUCACUUUAAGGACAAGCUGUGAUGGGGAGCGAAAUUUAGUAGCGAAGCGUCUGAUGUCACACUGCCGAGAAAAGCUUCUAGUGAGUACUUAACUACCCGUACCGCAAACCGACACAGGUAGUCGAGGAGAGAAUCCUAAGGUGAGCGAGUGAACUCUCGUUAAGGAACUCGGCAAAAUGACCCCGUAACUUCGGGAGAAGGGGUGCUGAUCGCAAGAUCAGCCGCAGUGAAUAGGCCCAGGCGACUGUUUAUCAAAAACACAGGUCUCUGCAAAAUCGUAAGAUGACGUAUAGGGGCUGACGCCUGCCCGGUGCUGGAAGGUUAAAAGGAUGGGUUAGCUUCGGCGAAGCUCAGAAUUGAAGCCCCAGUAAACGGCGGCCGUAACUAUAACGGUCCUAAGGUAGCGAAAUUCCUUGUCGGGUAAGUUCCGACCCGCACGAAAGGCGUAACGAUCUGGGCACUGUCUCAACGAGAGACUCGGUGAAAUUAUAUUGUCCGUGAAGAUGCGGACUACCCGCGACAGGACGGAAAGACCCCAUGGAGCUUUACUGUAGCUUGAUAUUGAGUGUUUGUACAGCUUGUACAGGAUAGGUAGGAGCCAUAGAAACCGGAACGCUAGUUUCGGUGGAGGCGUUGGUGGGAUACUACCCUCGCUGUAUGACCACUCUAACCCGCACCACUAAUCGUGGUGGGAGACAGUGUCAGGUGGGCAGUUUGACUGGGGCGGUCGCCUCCUAAAAAGUAACGGAGGCGCCCAAAGGUUCCCUCAGAAUGGUUGGAAAUCAUUCGCAGAGUGUAAAGGCACAAGGGAGCUUGACUGCGAGACAGACAGGUCGAGCAGGGACGAAAGUCGGGCUUAGUGAUCCGGUGGUACCGUAUGGAAGGGCCAUCGCUCAACGGAUAAAAGCUACCCUGGGGAUAACAGGCUUAUCUCCCCCAAGAGUCCACAUCGACGGGGAGGUUUGGCACCUCGAUGUCGGCUCAUCGCAUCCUGGGGCUGUAGUCGGUCCCAAGGGUUGGGCUGUUCGCCCAUUAAAGCGGUACGCGAGCUGGGUUCAGAACGUCGUGAGACAGUUCGGUCCCUAUCCGUCGCGGGCGUAGGAAAUUUGAGAGGACCUGUCCUUAGUACGAGAGGACCGGGAUGGACAUACCUCUGGUGUACCAGUUGUGCCGCCAGGCGCAUCGCUGGGUAGCUACGUAUGGAUGUGAUAAACGCUGAAAGCAUCUAAGUGUGAAACACACCUCGAGAUGAGAUUUCCCAUUCCUUUAUGGAAGUAAGACCCCUGAAAGAUGAUCAGGUAGAUAGGUUAGAAGUGGCAGUGCGGUGACGCAUGAAGCGGACUAAUACUAAUCGGUCGAGGACUUAACC
rnacentral:rRNA from 1 species